rnacentral:rRNA from 1 species
GUGAGGAAUAUUGGUCAAUGGGCGAGAGCCUGAACCAGCCAAGUCGCGUGAAGGAAGAAGGAUCUAUGGUUCGUAAACUUCUUUUGCAGGGGAAUAAAGUGCAGGACGUGUCCUGUUUUGUAUGUACCCUGAGAAUAAGGAUCGGCUAACUCCGUGCCAGCAGCCGCGGUAAUACGGAGGAUCCGAGCGUUAUCCGGAUUUAUUGGGUUUAAAGGGUGCGUAGGUGGUUUGAUAAGUCAGCGGUGAAAGUUUGCAGCUUAACUGUAAAAAUGCCGUUGAAACUGUCGGACUUGAGUGUAAAUGAGGUAGGCGGAAUGCGUGGUGUAGCGGUGAAAUGCAUAGAUAUCACGCAGAACUCCGAUUGCGAAGGCAGCUUACUAAGCUACAACUGACACUGAAGCACGAAAGCGUGGGGAUCAAACAGGAUUAGAAACCCCUUAGUCC